AAUCAAGAUUAUGUUUUUUUAUUAUAUAUGUAUUAUGAAUGUUAAUUUUCUCUACUUAUUUCCACUUCUUAGAUAGUAACACAAAGUAACAAUCUUUCUAUAGCACGACUGAUUUACACUAUGAUGGCCUUUGUCCUUGUAUUCGGACACAUGAGUCUAUAUUGUGUAUUAGGAGAAAUUUUAGUUAUUCAGUGCGACGGGAUUUACGAUGCUGUUUGCCAAUACGAAUGGUACAAUUUGGAGCCCAAGCAAGCAAAGAAUUUUCUGAAUAUACUGAUGGAAACUAGAAGACCAUUGCAUCUUACUGCGGGAAAACUCUUUCCUAUGACAAUAGCUACAUUAUGUAAUCUUAUUCCACGGAUAUUCUCCUGAAAAAGAAACUUACAUACAACACUGUAAUAGAUAUAAUAGUAAUAGAUUUAACAAAUCAUCGUUGGAGCCAGUAUCGCUGCAAAUAAAAAUUCUACAAAAGCUGCAAUUUGACAAAAUAAUAGUCACUUCAUUCAGUUUAUGUAAACAAAAAGUGCAUCAAUAUCUUUAACAGUUUAGGUAUUACAAACUUCCGGCGGCUAUAUAUCAGUUCUAUUGGCACAUCGCAGGUGAACUGAAAAUCACCUGGACCAAUAUGUCAUCGAAUUAUUAAGUAUUAUUAAUAAUAGCAAAUUAUAUCAAAAAAUUGCUAUGAGAGAAAAACAGGCGGUAGGCAGAAACACUCUAGAAACUAGACGUAGGCACUCUAGAAACACGGUAGCAGAAGAACCUUCAAGAAUAUUUAAAUUUGUGCGUUUCUGUAUAGACAGAACUUUUUAGAAAUUUCAUAUUAAAAAUAUACUAUAUAAUAGUAAGAAAAGGAUAUGGUUUGUUUCAUUAUCUUAUAUUUUAUCUCAAUUUGCAAUAAAUGUUCAGUAAUG